CACAUGCAAGUCGAACGAUGAAGCCCUUCGGGGUGGAUUAGUGGCGAACGGGUGAGUAACACGUGGGCAAUCUGCCCUUCACUCUGGGACAAGCCCUGGAAACGGGGUCUAAUACCGGAUACCACUCCUGCCCGCAUGGGUAGGGGUUGAAAGCUCCGGCGGUGAAGGAUGAGCCCGCGGCCUAUCAGCUUGUUGGUGGGGUAAUGGCCCACCAAGGCGACGACGGGUAGCCGGCCUGAGAGGGCGACCGGCCACACUGGGACUGAGACACGGCCCAGACUCCUACGGGAGGCAGCAGUGGGGAAUAUUGCACAAUGGGCGAAAGCCUGAUGCAGCGACGCCGCGUGAGGGAUGACGGCCUUCGGGUUGUAAACCUCUUUCAGCAGGGAAGAAGCGAAAGUGACGGUACCUGCAGAAGAAGCGCCGGCUAACUACGUGCCAGCAGCCGCGGUAAUACGUAGGGCGCAAGCGUUGUCCGGAAUUAUUGGGCGUAAAGAGCUCGUAGGCGGCUUGUCACGUCGGAUGUGAAAGCCCGAGGCUUAACCUCGGGUCUGCAUUCGAUACGGGCUAGCUAGAGUGUGGUAGGGGAGAUCGGAAUUCCUGGUGUAGCGGUGAAAUGCGCAGAUAUCAGGAGGAACACCGGUGGCGAANGCGGAUCUCUGGGCCAUUACUGACGCUGAGGAGCGAAAGCGUGGGGAGCGAACAGGAUUAGAUACCCUGGUAGUCCACGCCGUAAACGUU
rnacentral:rRNA from 1 species